GUACUGGUCCAAUUCCAUGUCCCAAGUAUGGAUCGGCAUAUUCUCUUGCAUAGCUAGAUAUUUGUUUAAAAAAAAAUAUUAAAAUUUUCUUGAUUGAUUGUUAAUUCUUGAGUGGUUUGAAUCUUGAGAAGAAGUCUUGAGAGUUCUUGAUACGAGUAUUUAAAGUUAUUGUAACGGUCAACAUUAAUCCGAUUUCUUUUUCUGC